rnacentral:rRNA from 1 species
CUAUUACAUGCAAGUCGAGCGGACAGAAGGGAGCUUGCUCCCGGAUGUUAGCGGCGGACGGGUGAGUAACACGUGGGUAACCUGCCUGUAAGACUGGGAUAACUCCGGGAAACCGGAGCUAAUACCGGAUAGUUCCUUGAACCGCAUGGUUCAAGGAUGAAAGACGGUUUCGGCUGUCACUUACAGAUGGACCCGCGGCGCAUUAGCUAGUUGGUGGGGUAAUGGCUCACCAAGGCGACGAUGCGUAGCCGACCUGAGAGGGUGAUCGGCCACACUGGGACUGAGACACGGCCCAGACUCCUACGGGAGGCAGCAGUAGGGAAUCUUCCGCAAUGGACGAAAGUCUGACGGAGCAACGCCGCGUGAGUGAUGAAGGUUUUCGGAUCGUAAAGCUCUGUUGUUAGGGAAGAACAAGUGCGAGAGUAACUGCUCGCACCUUGACGGUACCUAACCAGAAAGCCACGGCUAACUACGUGCCAGCAGCCGCGGUAAUACGUAGGUGGCAAGCGUUGUCCGGAAUUAUUGGGCGUAAAGGGCUCGCAGGCGGUUUCUUAAGUCUGAUGUGAAAGCCCCCGGCUCAACCGGGGAGGGUCAUUGGAAACUGGGAAACUUGAGUGCAGAAGAGGAGAGUGGAAUUCCACGUGUAGCGGUGAAAUGCGUAAAGAUGUGGAGGAACACCAGUGGCGAAGGCGACUCUCUGGUCUGUAACUGACGCUGAGGAGCGAAAGCGUGGGAAGCGAACAGGAUUAUAUACCCUGGGAGUCCACGCCGUAAACGAUGAGUGCUAAGUGUUAGGGGGGUUUCCGCCCCUUAGUGCUGCGGCUAACGCUUUAAGCACUCCGCCUGGGGAGUACGGGCGCAAGAAUGAAACUUCAAAGGA